rnacentral:rRNA from 1 species
GUGGGGAAUUUUGGACAAUGGGCGCAAGCCUGAUCCAGCAAUGCCGCGUGCAGGAAGAAGGCCUUCGGGUUGUAAACUGCUUUUGUACGGAACGAAACGGUCCUGGUUAAUACCUGGGGCUAAUGACGGUACCGUAAGAAUAAGCACCGGCUAACUACGUGCCAGCAGCCGCGGUAAUACGUAGGGUGCGAGCGUUAAUCGGAAUUACUGGGCGUAAAGCGUGCGCAGGCGGUGCUGUAAGACAGGCGUGAAAUCCCCGGGCUCAACCUGGGAAUUGCGCUUGUGACUGCAGUGCUGGAGUACGGCAGAGGGGGAUGGAAGUCCGCGUGUAGCAGUGAAAUGCGUAGAUAUGCGGAGGAACACCGAUGGCGAAGGCAGUCCCCUGGGCCUGUACUGACGCUCAUGCACGAAAGCGUGGGGAGCAAACAGGAUUAGAUACCCCAGUAGUCC